CAGUCAUCUUGGGAGACGAAAAAUCUGAAUUCAGAUUAGUUUAGUUUUUGGAUUACUCCUAGAAUCCCGAAAAGAUCAGACAGCUGCUUUUCCAAAAUAUGGUUCCGUUUUUACGUCCUACUUUAUGGAUGAUGUUUUAUGGAGACGGAGGCCAUUUUGAUUAAAACCUGAUAAUAAUACCUGGGUCUUCAUCAAUUAAGAAGAGAUCAGAAUGAAAGAAAAACUGUUGCUUUUAAUUUUGGUGGUAUUUUAUAUUCUUGUGUCCGAAGCUACUGAAAAGUGUCAGAAACUCAGCCUGGAAAAGCCAUUCAAUCCUGAACUGCAAUGGAUAUGCUCAAAUUUAACAAGUUUUGGGGAAAGCUGCAGACUAGGAUGCAAAGGAGAGCUAACCACUGAGAUAAAACUUAAAACUGUUUGUACUUCUUUAGGCUGGAUACCUAAGCUUCCAAAACUUACCAAUAUUUCCUGUGUCGAAGAAAUAUGUCCAGAUUUGACAAAGAAAAAGGUUUCUCAUGGAAAAUGGGAUUGCACUCUCCCACAGGAUUGUGUUGAAGAUAAAACAGGAAGCAUUUGCAAGCUAGACUGUGAAACCGGGUUUAGUCCUAGCACUGAUGUACCUAGUGUUUGUACACAACAAGGAUGGAUUCCUCAUUCUUCAAAUAUUCAUUGUAAAAAGUGUCCUGUUCAAUCAAACCCCAAGUAUGGAUCCUGGAAGUGUGGGCUCAAAGGGGAAUCUGAAGUUUGCUCACUUCAGUGCAAUAAGGGUUACAGGUCUAGAAGCCCUGCUAAUUUAAUUGUUUGCAAUGGAACCAAAUAUGAUGUUGACCCAGAGACAUUUUCUUGUGAACUGACAAGUCAGUUUUUUAAAGAACCCAGAUUCUUAAGCAAGAUGAUUACUGAAAAUGUUGAUGCUCCUUGUUUGGAACUAGAACAUCCAGAUAAUGGAAAAUGGGAGUAUAUUUCUGAAUCAGAGAGGUUGCUGUCUUGCAACCCUGGAUAUGCUAUUGCAAAACCUGUAAUUGCAAGGUGUUUUGCUGGUCAUUGGUGUUCUGAACAGCUGGGUGUUGGUUGUCAGCCUGAACCAGAAGAAGAUCAUGAAAUAAAAGAAGCAAACAGAGUUUCGGAAAACUCUACACUGGAGAAACCAUGUGAUGAUGAUAUAAAGUCUAAUAGAACAUAUGACAAUAAUGAUGUUGAUGAAGAUGACUCAGCACCAAACAAAGAUUUGCCAAAUAGAAAAGAAGAAGAACCUGACUCAACACCAAACAAAGAUUCGCCAAAUAGACUAGAAGGGGAAGACACCCCAGCACCAAAUAAAAAUUGGCCAAAUAGACCAGAAGGGGUAAACGCCUCAGCUCCAAAUAAAAAUUGGCCAAAUAGACCAGAAGGGGUAAACGCCUCAGCUCCAAAUAAAAAUUGGAAAAAUAGACCCAAAGGAGAAGACACCUCAGAACCAAACAAAGACUUGAAAAAUAGACUCAAAGGAGAAGACACCUUCAAACCAAACAAAGAUUCGCUUAAUAGACCAGAAGGGGAAAACACCUCAGAACCAAUUAAAGAUUUGCCAAAUAGCAUACAUGACAAUAAUGAUGUCCAAGGUGACACUUUUACUGCAAUGACGUUUCAAAGAGAUUCGAAUGUGACUGAACCAAUGGCAGAACAAACUACAACAAAUGAAAAUGAUUAUUUUAAUGCUUAUAAAGAAGCAGAACAGAACAAGACAAAUUCAGAUUUCAAAAAUAAAACAAAUGUUAUGGAGUCUUCAAUAAGUUCAGAUAUUAAAGUUAAGGAUGAGAAACCACCAAGUUUAGAUAAUUCUGAAACACCUAAAAUUGAAAAUACUUCGGAUAUAAUUCUUGAUAAAGAAGGACUUAUAGGUGACUUUAAACCAUCUGGAUUAAAGGAGAACACACAGGAAAUUCCUGAAAAUGAAUCGGCUCAAAAUAAAUCAUUGAAAAUAAAAUAUUUUAUACCUAAGAUACAUUCAUUACCAGAAACCCUGAAUCAAAAUGACAUCUUGAUAGAUAUCCCUGGGAAAAAUACUACAUUUGAAUCCCAAAGAGACAAUGAAUCACCAGGAAAUGAUGGAACUGUUGAAGCAGGAGAAAUAAGUGACAACUCAUCUGUAGAACUAGAGUUUCCAAUUGAUUCUGAAAAUCAAAUAGAUAAAAAAGAGAAUAAUGGAAAGAAAUCUAUGGAAUUUGACAUAUUAGACCAAACCACAAGUGGAUCUACCAUUAAGGAAGAAGAAAGUAUUUUGAAUGAUCAAGAAGAAAUCAAAAAUAAAUCCCUGGAAUUUGAUAUUUUGAAGGAAACUACAACCGUUUCCAGUAUCGUAAGAGAGUUAGAUAAGUUAAUUGAUGAGGAAGAAAAUCAAAAUAAAUCGAUGCAAUAUGGAUUUUAUGAUGAUGAUCAGAAUGAUACUAAUUUUAAAAUAGAGAAAGACAUAUUACCUGAUGGGGAAGAAAAUCAAAAUAAAUCAAUGGAAUUUGAAAUUCCUAACAAAACCACAAAUGAUUUUAGCAAUGAUAAUGAGGUGGAACUAUCAAAUGCUGAUAAAGAAUAUCAAAAUAAAUCUAUGGAAUUGGGAUUUUCUGAUGAAACAACAAGUGCAUCUAGUAUUAAUAAUGAACUGUUAAUCGAUGGGGAAGAAAAUCAAAAUAAAUCAGUGGAAUUUGAAAUUCCUCAAAAAACCACAAAUGAUGCUAGCAAGGAAAAUGAGUUGGAACUAUCAAAUGUUGGAAAUGAAUAUCAAAAUAAAUCAAUGGAAUAUGGAUUUUCUGACGAAACAACAAAUGCAUCUAGUAUCAAUACUGAGAAAGAAUUGUUAAUUGAUGGUAAAGAAAAUCAAAAUAAAUCCCUUGAAUUUGGGUUUUAUGGCACUACAAACAAUUCUAGUAGAAGAAAAGCAAAAGAUAUUUUGAUAGCUGGGAAAGAAAACAAAAAUAAAUCAAUGGAAUUUGAGAUUUCUGAUGUAACUACAAAACGUCCAGUAAUUGAAAACACAAAAGAUAUUUUGAUAGCUGGGGAAGAAAACAAAAAUAAAUCAAUGGAAUUUGAGAUUUCUGAUGUAACUACAAAACAUUCAGCAACUGAAAACACAAAAAAUAUUUUGAUAGCUGGGGAAGAAAACAAAAAUAAAUCAUUGGAAUUUGAGAUUUCUGAUGUAACUACAAAACAUUCAACAAUUGAAAGCACAAAACAUAUUUUGAUAGCUGGGGAAGAAAACAAAAACAAAUCAAUGGAAUUUGAGAUUUCUGAUGUAACUACAAAACGUUCAACAGUUGAAAACAGAAAAGAUAUUUUAAUAGCUGGAGGAGAAAAUAAAAAAAAAUCAAUGGAAUUUGAAGUUUCUGAUGAAACUUCAAAUGAUUCUUAUAAUGCAACAGGGAAUGAUGUAUUAUUAGAAAAAGACAAUAAUAAAAACAACUCCAUGGAUUUUGAGUUCUCAGACAACUCAAAAAAUAAUUCAAAAACUUCUUAUAAUUCGGAAAGUGUAGAGUUUUCCGGUAAAAAAGAAACAAAAGAAAACAUUUCAAUGGAAGUAGAGUUUCCUGGAGAGAAUCAGAGAAAUUAUGCAACUACCAAUGAGACAUCUAACAAUAUUUUAACUGCAGAUGAAGAAAUAUUGCUGGCUAAAGAGAAGGCUAAGAAUACUACUAUGGAACUAGAGUUCCCAGCAGACUCUGAAAAUGCCUCAGAAAAUCAGAAUAUUAGCAGAAAUUCAACUUAUCAAAGUAAUAAAGAUGUUUCAAUAUUAACAAGUGAUUUGAUCAUUGACCCUAACAGUGUGUCUGGGAGCUUUGAGACAACAUUGGACUCAAAUGAUAGUUAUUCAGCAAACUGCAGUAGUCCACAUCACCCCAAAUCUUCCCUUCAGUUCUCUUGCUUCCCAGACCUUCCUCCACACUUGUCCUGCAGAAUUAUUUGUCCUCAAAAUUUUCAACCAUACGUGAAUAUGAUCAACUGUCUCUCAAAUGGUACAUGGGAUGUGGAAUCAGAACUGAAAUGUUUAAAGUGUGACAAGAACGCAGUUAAACAUAAGCAUAAAUGCUUCUGCAAGAUUGGAUAUAGUGGAGACGGUUUAUUGUGUGGCGUAGACUCUGAUCUUGAUAAUAUUCCUGAUGAGGAUAUACCAGGAUGCCAGGGUCCAUUUUGCUCCAAGGAUAAUUGCAAAGACAUUGACAAUCCUGAUCAAUUAGAUACUGAUGGAGAUGGGGAGGGAAAUGCAUGUGAUGACGACCUGGACGAUGACGGAGUCCUAGACAAAAAUGAGUUUCAAGCUAAUAUAAGAUGUACAGAGGAAGAGAUGGAAAAAAUAACCCGAGAAAUAGAGGCUUAUGGUGAGGAAAAACAUAAUGGUUCUGCAGUUACUAAACAGGGGGAAAAACAGCUAAGAAAAAGGGAGCUUUUGUGCCAAACAAACUUAGAAAGUCCUGACAAUUGUCCACUGACAAAGAAUCCUGGUCAAGAGGAUAGAGAUGGUGACCUAGCUGGAGAUGCUUGUGAUAACUGUCCUCGUCUCUUCAACUGGAAGCAAAAAGACACUGAUGGUGAUGGAAUCGGAGAUUUAUGUGACGAUGAUAUGGACGGAGAUGAAGUUAAUAAUGAAAAAGAUAACUGCAUCUUAGAUAGCAACCCGGACCAGAAAGAUUCAGACGAAGAUGGGUUCGGAGACCAAUGUGACAAUUGUAAAGAUUUCAAAAAUCCUGAUCAGAAAGACGGGGAUAGAAAUGGAGUAGGGGAUGCAUGUGAAGCUGGCGAAGAUAUGGAUGGGGAUGGUUUCUACACGUCAGACAACUGUAAAAUUGUUUCCAACAUAAAUCAAUGGGAUACAGACAAGGACGGUGAGGGGGAUGCCUGUGAUCCAGAUAUAGAUAAUGAUGGAAUUCCAAAUGAAAAGGAUAACUGUCUUUUUAUACCUAAUCCAGACCAGGAACCUUCUAAACGGAAUAAGCUAGUUGGAAAAGCAUGUGAAAAAGAUAGGGAUGGAGACGGGGUCCUAGAUUCUGCUGAUGUUUGUCCAAAUAAUCCAGCAAUAUCAGAUCAACAUUUUGAUAAAACGAACUUGGAGCUGAUCAAUUAUUGCGAGUUUGCUGAACAGGAAGGUCUUAAAAACCUAACUAUUUGCGAGAAACCCAAUCCCAACUGGGAAGAUAGAAGAAAUGGAACUCAAUUAUUUCAGGCUGUGAACAGUAGGGCUGCCAUUGUUCUAAACAGAAGAAACUUGUUUGAAAAUGUUCAGUACAACGGAACUUUUUAUGUAAAUGAUGAAACAGAUAAUGAUUGGCUUGGCAUUGUGUUUGGAUUUAAAAAUGUGUUCAACUUUUAUAUAAUUAUUGCCAACAAACAUCCAUUAGGAAUUCGGACAUAAAGGGUUCCGGUGCAAUGUGGUGGUCUGUGAAGAAAAUUAAUAUGAGAAAUGUAUCUGACCAUGGUCAAGCUUAUAAAAAGAUUCUGGGUGCAAUGAUCUCACAGGAUUCUAAAGAUGAUUAUGCUGUUAAUCUGUGGGAGGAUGCGAAGAAACAUCAAUGGAGAGAGAAAACUCCAAUUCAGUGGAGUAUAAACUAUAUUCCAACACAGGGUAAAAUUCAACUGAAGAUGGUGAGAGAUGGUGAAACUAUUAUUGAAUCCGGUGAUAUUUUAGAUCCUGAUCCUAUUCCAGGAGGAAAGAUUGGAAUGUACGUGAACAGUCAGAAGAAUGUCCUUUUCUCAGAAUUAUCCUUUAAAUGUCUGGAACCUGAUAUCAAGGAUUCUGGAAGAGGGUAUGCAAAGAAGAAUGAUAAUGUUGAGCAAGAAAAAAACAAAUGAGAAUGCAAAUUAAACUUUAAAUAAAGAUAAUAAUAACACACACGUGUAUGUAAAACAAAACUAUGUUGAAUGUGAAGAAAAAACAAAUGAGAAUGCAAAUUAAACUUUAAAUAAAGAUAAUAAUAACACACACGUGUAUGUGAAACAAAACUAUGUUGAAUGUGAAAAAAAAACAAAUGAGAAUGCAAAUUAAACUUUAAAUAAAGAUAAUAAUAACA
rnacentral:misc_RNA from 1 species